UCAACGGAGAGUUUGAUCCUGGCUCAGAACGAACGCUGGCGGCGUGGAUAAGGCAUGCAAGUCGAACGCGAAAGUCACCUUCGGGUGAUGAGUAGAGUGGCAAACGGGUGAGUAACA
rnacentral:rRNA from 1 species